UGUAGGCGGAUUGGUGGGUCGAUGGUGAAAGCUUCCGGCUUAACCGGGAAAGUGCUGUCGAAACUACCGAUCUAGAGGGCAGGAGAGGAAACUGGAACUUCCGGUGUAGCGGUAAAAUGCGUAGAUAUCGGAAGGAACGCCAAUAGCGAAGGCAGGUUUCUGGAAUGCUCCUGACGCUGAGACACGAAAGCUAGGGUAGCGAACAGGAUUAGAUACCCUGGUAGUCCUAGCCGUAAACGAUGCAUACUAGGCGUGGGGUCGCAAGCCCCCGUGCCGCAGCUAACGCGAUAAGUAUGCCGCCUGGGGACUACGGCCGCAAGGUUGAAACUCAAAGGAAUUGACGGGGACCCGCACAAGCGGUGGAGGAUGUGGUUUAAUUCGAUGCUACGCGAAGAACCUUACCUGGGUUUGACAUGCAAGUGGUAGGGACCCGAAAGGGGACCGACUGGAGAUUUUCUCCGGAG
rnacentral:rRNA from 1 species